rnacentral:lncRNA from 1 species
AGUUUUUCAGGCAGUGUCUGUAUCCCCUGAGAAAGUGGGAACCCUUUUACGAAACAAGAUGGACAUGAUUUUUCCUUAUUCCUUCCUGCCAACUUACUGGCCCACUUAUUCCUUACUGGCCUACCAGAAGCGAGUGAAAGAGGCUGCUUGCCAGGAGGUGAGAGGAACCAGAGGACAGUGGUAAUGCAAUGCGUUUUGGGUUUCAAAUACCAAAAUUGGGACAGUGGAAAAUUCCUCAACUGAUUUGGAUGACCAGUAAUAUCGACUGUAACUACUGGGGAUUUCUUAGAACAGUUCUCAAAGGAAUACACCUUACAUUAUGACCCAGGACACAAACAUACACAAAUGUCUACAAACGUACAUAAAUCACCAAUUUAUUGUAAAAGGAUGUAACUCAGAAAAGCCAGAUGGAAAAGAUGCACAGGACAAGCACUUAGAAAGUGUUUGGCACAGAUCACACCUGCAUAGGAUCUAGAGUAGAUCUGCUUAACUGAGCCCAGGGGGGAAUGCCUGGAACAGCAGAAGCAGACCUCCUGCAACUUCCAGAUGACAGCAUGAGGACAAAAGCCAGCAGGCUAAGCACAGCAGAGUGGGAAGAGAGCUGAGUCCCUUAUGGCAUCAUUUUGCAGCUGAACUGAUGCCAGCAACAACCUGCCUCUGGACUUAAGAAUGCAAGACACUUUCUGGAUGGACUGGAAUAUCUCGGAAAGAGGCACCAGUUUUCAGUUACUAAUUGCUUGGGUCCCAGGUUUGACUGGCCAUCAAACCGAGCGGAAAGAAGAAGAAAACAGGUCUUGUUUUGAUUUGGUUUAUUGGGGGUGCAGGAGACUAUGGGAGGAGACAUAAAGACAAUGUACGGAAAGCAGAUCAGGGAGAAGGGUAGCAAGGAGCAGGGUUUCCAGAGGGGCCUUCGGAAACCUAGAAGCUGGUCCCUGAGGUUGCCCACGAAGAGAGAGGGUCCAGGCUAGGAGAUUUCUGUGCCCAGGAGAGGCUUGGGAGCUGAGCCCUCAUACCCCAUCAG